ACGCUCGACACCUACGAGGCAGCAGUGAGGAAUAUUGGUCAAUGGACGCAAGUCUGAACCAGCCAUGCCGCGUGCAGGAUGACGGCUCUAUGAGUUGUAAACUGCUUUUGUACGAGGGUAAACGCAGAUACGUGUAUCUGUCUGAAAGUAUCGUACGAAUAAGGAUCGGCUAACUCCGUGCCCACAGCCGCGGUAAUCUGAGCGGGCUGGCAAGGC
rnacentral:rRNA from 1 species